rnacentral:lncRNA from 1 species
UUUGGGAUUUGGGAUUUGGGGUGGGAUUUGGGAUGGGAUUUGGGAUUUGGGAUGGGAUUUGGGAUUUGGGAUGGGAUUUGGGGUGGGAAGGUGUCCAGGGGUGAAUCCAUGGGAUUUCCCUCGGUGGGAACCAAGGCCAGAGGAGCAGGAAUUCAGCCAGGAACAGGACGGGAAUUUGGGAACAGCAGGAAUUCAGUCAGGAACAGGAAUUUGGGAAUUUGGGAACAGCAGGAAUUCAGGAACAGGAUAGGAAUUUGGGAAGAGCAGGAAUUCAGCCAGGAACAGGAAUUUGGGAAUUUGGGAACAGAACAGGAAUUUGGGAAUUUGGGAAGAGCAGGAAUUCAGUCAGGAACAGGAAUUUGGGAAUUUGGGAACAGCAGGAAUUCAGCCAGGAACAGGAAUUUGGGAAUUUGGGAAGAGCAGGAAUUCAGGAAUGGGACAGGAAUUUGGGAAUUUGGGAAGAGCAGGAAUUCAGUCAGAAACAGGAAUUUGGGAAUUUGGGAAGAGCAGGAAUUCAGGAAUGGGACAGGAAUUUGGGAAUUUGGGAAUUUGGGAAGAGCAGGAAUUUGGGAAUUUGGGAAGAGCAGGAAUUUGGGAACAGGACAGGAAUUUGGGAACAGAAGGAAUUCAGGAAUGGGACAGGAAUUUGGGAAUUUGGGAACAGAACAGGAAUUUGGGAAUUUGGGAAGAGCAGGGUGGGAGGACACCAAGCUCAUCCCAAAGAUCUGGAAUUUUCCUCUCCCUGGAUUUGGGGUGAGAAUCACCGGGAAGAGCUCGGCAGGGACUGGAGAGGGAAUUCCAGGGGGACUGAGGUGUUGAAAAUCCCGGAAAAAGCGGGAAUUUCCCCCGGGAUCGGGGAUUUCCCGACUUCCCCGCCCUUUGUCCCCUGGCUCACACCUGGCCCAGGUGGGAGGCGGCCGGAUCCGGCCUCGGUGACGUCACGGCGGGAUCCGGCCGGAGCUGGGCGGAUCCUGCUCCGGGUGUCCGCAAAAUUCCCGGAAUGGGAAUUCCCA